UUUUUUAAACAACAAAGUAGUUAAGGGUUGAGGACAGUAACAGGUAGACAAGCUUAAAUCACUGUGGAUUGAGUGCAAACCUCAUUUAGAAGUAGCUUUAGAGCCAUGUAGUAUGUGAGGAGAAGACAAUUAAUAAGUAACCUUCUGUGAAAGAGUAAUGGAAGGUGCAAUGUGACUUGCCAGAUACUAUCUAGGUCCUAAUGGGAAAGUAUCUGGAACUCUCAGCUGCUGUUACCUUAGGCAUACAGUGGUUACAUGCAGAAUAACUUGAUUUUGAGUAUGGGCUGUUUUUCUUAAGCAUUUUGAAAGCUGGAGCUUCGUUCCCUCUUCUUUUUCCUUAUGGAAAAGCUGUCAAUAACAGUGGCCUGGAAAAAAACAAAAGGAGACUGAGAGAGAUCUGCUAAUUGGUCUGUUUUAUCUAUAAGGGUACGAAAGUCACUGUGCACUUCAUGGCGUAGUUGUAAGAAAUUGCGCUUGGUACUCAACAUAACUGAUUUUGGCUGCUUAGAUUGCAGUAAAUAGGAAAAAAAGUUGGAAUUCACAGAAUGGGGGAGCUGUCUAUCUAAUGGCAGAUGGAAUUUAAGGCUCCCAUGCACUUUUUGUGAAGUACCACCGUUAACUGAAAUAAUUGGAAUUUUUUAACCUCUUCACAUUUUCAUAAGUGGUAGCAGCACCCAGAAAUGUUUGCUUUCUGUUUUGGAGCAGUGCAGAUCUGUGCUAGGAAGCAUCUGUGAAUGACGCUGAAAUGCUCCGUGCUGUGGCUCUUUCUGCUGGCUGAGGGAGCGAGGGAUUCUGAGUGAAGUACGUUCCAGUUCCAGAUACACCUGACCAACCUUAGCCAUCUGCUGUUCCGCUGUGUUCCCUGCCUUACUGAUGUCUUGUAAAUUGCUUGGAGUGUUCAUAAUACUAGCUAGGGGUGUCAGUGUGUUUCAGGCUACUGCAGCCUGCCGGAGGGAGCUGUGUGCAGCCAGGGGCUGGAUGAGGUGAUCUCCUGAGGUCCAUCCCCUGCUGUUCUGAGAUGCUGUGAAGAAUCUCUCCGUGAGGAUUAGUUGGCUACCUGCUUUGGGACGAGCUGAAAGGAAAAGCAGUGCUUGCUUUGUCUACACUGAUAAUUUUUUUUUCCCCCUAGAGGAAUUGUGUUGGUUCUUUUUUGUUUGUUUGUUUUGGAGAUGCAUGGUUUGUAUAAAAUGAACUAUUUAUACUGCAGGACUUUUUUUUUAACGUGUUAGAUAGUACAAUAGUACUAAAUCAAAGUAUAUAUAUUUUUAAAGAGGAGGGUCUUCCAUCCUAAUAGUGCUUCUGUAUAAUACCUCAAAGCAGUGAAGGGCUAACAUUGAUGUGCGGUGAUGUUUAGGUUUGUUAGAGGUAGUGCUGGUGACUGAGUAUAUGAAGCUGUGUUUAGGUACGUCUCUCUUACAUUAUGGAUACCGUGUUUAUAUCUCCAGGGAUUCUGUAGCAUCUAGAUUUUUUUUUUGUCUGAGAUGGGAAUAAAUGGUGAGAUUGUGCUUCUCUGCCUUUGUUAUGAACAAAGAAACAACCCAAACUUUUGAGCGAUCUGUAAACAGAUGCAAAGGAUCUGCACUGCAGUCCUACUUGCAGUUAUGCUCACAGAUCUGUUAAUCUGUUGUAGGUGUGCUCACUGAAGGUGAAGUGCUGUUGGUACAGCCCAGUUGGUGUUGGUGUGUUCUCUAAUAGUCCAGGCAGCUCUGCAUGACAGUAGUACCACAGUCUGAUCACUUCCUCACUAUUGGGAUAAAGGCUUGUGACACCAACCAGCACCAGUUUGUGAUCCGUUGCUGUCCAUUUGCACGGCACACGUUGGAAACUGCUCAAUCUUUGUCCUACAAAAAGCAGGUUAAACCAAAUGUGCUGCACUAUGAGCAUGUCAUUUACAAAGAUACUUUAAUAAGAGGUAAAGGGCAAGUAGUUUUCCUUCCAUCCAGUCAAGCUGUAAUUACUAAUUUGUAAUCAGGUUGCUAUAAUUUCCUUCAUUUUGUGACAGUUCAGCAAUAAAAAGCCAUACCAUACCACGGUAUUAGGAAGCGUAGAGAUAAAUGCAUGCAUUUAUUCACUUACUGUACUUUAUUAGAAGUAGUUGUUUAUUUUGCCUUUAGAGUAGCUGAAGGUUUAAUAAUAAACAUCCUUUACUAUUGUAAGUAUGAUCUGUAUCAGUACUCUGACCUUUUGAAAUCAUUUAAUUUGGGGGCUAUAUGUGUGACAUGAGUUAUUUGAAGCCAAGAGGGAAAAUGAUCUACUUGGUCAACCUGGUUCAUCUUCUACUAAUAUAUCUUACACAAGUAGCUUUCUUUUUCUGAUACACGUCCUAGAGCUGUUGAUAUAAAACUGGGCAUUGGUCUCUUGUAGCACAAACCUCAAAUAUUUUUUAUCUUGAACCGAGCAGCUUUGAAACAGGAUCAAACCAUCACAUGAGAGCACAAACGACAAGUUCAGACUGCCUCUAAUUUUCACUGAUGCAUUUGAGAUAAACGUUUGGCAUCAAGGAGGUGCCAACUUCCACUAUCAAGGGAUUAAACUAAGUAUGGAAACAGCAGUAAAAUAACAUUCCUAUAGCAGUGGUAAUAGCUUAGUUCUGAUGGUUUGAGGUGUUUAAUUUUGCAGUUUCUCAAAAACGCUGAAUGUAUGUUGGACAGAUGAUAAAAUAAUUCCCAUUUGUAUACAUCUUGGCUCUGAGUGAUUCUUUUAAGUUUUUUCCAGCUUUGAAAGCUAUGCAGUUGUUAUGUUGUAUAGAAAACUAAAACAUAGCACAAAUUACUGUUGAUAAUAAAUAUUUUCUGUGGCUCGUAACAUAUAUUAUUUUGGGCUGGUCUUAUUCUUUUAGCUCAAGUAGGCUCUUGCUUUCCAUUUGAUUUCAGUGUUUAUUUUGUAAGCAUACCACAUUAACGUUCCCAGCCUCAUUGCUUCCAGCAGCACAAACAACACUUACAGCACCGAGCACUUAGCAGGCUUUGCAGAGCAGUGCUGCUGGUGGGCCUACUUCCUGCUUGCUUCCUUUCAGUGUUCAGCCGUGUGAUGAAACGGCUUCUGUUCUGUACCAGUUUUUACUGUCAACGUUUGUGUGUGAUUUUAAAGAUGAACAAACUAAACUCGGCUUGUCAAAACUUGGAGUGGUGUAUCUGAGGUUAUUCCAUUUUGCAUGUUGAGUAACGGGUAACUGAUGAGCCUUUCUUUUCUGACAGGAUGGAGUAGUUCUUCACAAUUAAAAAAAAAAAGCCAACAAAGAACACCUGAAUGCACUGUGAGCCUUCAGUGACUUCAGUGAAAGGCUUACAGCUCAGUUCGUACCAUGGCAGAAGGUUAAAAGCAGUGAGAUUCCCAAAAUGUUUCUAGGAGCAGCCAGCUGUCCAGAAGGGUAUUGACGGCUUUGUUCCAAUAGCCGGUUGGUUAUGCAAUAUAAUGGAAGCAGACUUAAAUUACUGCUGUUUUAAAAUACUUUAAAAAAUCAUUUAAGAGCAGGUAGUAAUUGGCAAGAAUUUGAAACUCCGGCCUCGCUGCUGGAAUUGUUUGCUCUGUUUGCUGAAAAGAGUCACUUCAGUAAACUUACGGACAACGAACAGCUUGUUGCUAUCCAAACCACCAUUAAAGGAAGGUCUGUAAGGGGAAUGGAAAGAAGAACAGUAGGAAGUGCGUUCCAUUGUGGAUGUUAGAUCAGGGCUAUGCCUUACCAAGUGUUGUUACAAAGCUCCCCAUUGGACUCCCUGCUUUGUAAAUCCAAAUACUCCACUCAAACGUCAAUUCGCUGCAUUCUCUGGCACUGACAAAUACUGGGUUAAAUGGGGAUGUAGUGGUAGAGCCACGGUCUUCUGAAAUCCCAGUUGUCUCUGGAGAUUUAUGGAAAGUGAAUAGCAAAAUGUUCAGUUAUAUGAAAUAGGGAAGGCCUACUUCAUAGACCUCAUCACAGUGAUAGUCUACUGUACUGUUACUUAACACUACGAUUUCCUGCAGCUUUAUUAUUAUUUUUGCAAAUAAAGCUUAAGAGUCCAACAGUUUGUAGUCUGCUGGCUCCUUCAGAGACCAGUGAUUGGAUUUCAGUGGGUACAGUGAGAUUUUGGAAACUCGAAUGCUUUCUUAGCAGUUUCUUGAUAAAAUAAUCUGAUUACAUAGAUUUUAGAAACCUGUAUCAACGGAGGGCUGCGUAGACUCAGAACUUCCUUAAUUAGCAACAAAAUUAACAGCAAAUCUUUGUUCUUACUGCUUCCAAAAUUCUGACUAAAAAAAAAUAUGCAGAGGAAUUCUAAUUUCCUUCCAUUGCUUUCACUUUGGUCUGCUCUAAGAAAAACGAUUACUCUUUGCUUUGGUUUUGGGUGAUGUGCAACAGAAAGGACAGGCUGAAAACAGUGCCUGCUACAAAAUGCCUACUUGGCUUAGGGUGCGUUUUCUUCCGGUGAGGUUUGUGUUUAUUAAUUGGGUCAAACAGAAUGAUGUCACUAAUGAAAUCCAAAGUUAAUGAUCUGUCAAAUCCCUUUGAAAUAUCAAUUAUUUCUGAGGGUUUGCUGCCUCUUUGUGGUAUUUCUUGU
ensembl:lncRNA